CUUUCAGGAGCUGCAAUUAAGUGGAAUUUCCUUCGUACGUAAGUCAAAAAGCUUUGAAGCAGAGCUGGACUGGAGGUGUUACGGCUGCAAGCAGCAAUAUGACGACCGGGCUUCAAGUGCACAGAUUCAGUCAUAAAGGUGGAGCCUGCUGCUCAGGCCGAGAGAGAGUCUAAAGCGCUCCCGAUUGAAAAAAAACGAGGGAGGGAGGGGAAGGAGAAGAAAAGAAGCGAGG